CGACAUAGAGAUGUCACCGGUGACCAGAGGGCAUGGAAUGCUUGGUCGAGUCCCUCGAGGUUAUAUCAUCAAAUCAGACUCAUCUUGUAAUGAAGGUGUUGACUUAACCGAGCAUCAUGGUUGGUCGAGUCCCUCGAGGCCAUGGUGAUUCGAAGGCCGAACAGGACGGGAAUCACAAGGAGUUGUGAUCGACAAGAGUUGUCUACCUUUUAGGCUUAGUGUGAUUGGUCGAGUCCCUCGAGGUUACACUAAGACGCUGAUUGGAUCCUGAUCCCCACUAGAAGUCUGCCGGAGACUUCCGUUUCUCGUGCUGAGGGUGUCGCGUGACUUGUUAGUAAAAUAGUGGGAGCAUAUUAAGAUAGAAGUACAUAUCUUGAUAGUUUAUUUCUUGCAAAAUCUGCA
rnacentral:lncRNA from 1 species